rnacentral:rRNA from 1 species
GAUGAACGCUGGCGGCGUGCCUAAUACAUGCAAGUCGAGCGAACAGACGAGGAGCUUGCUCCUCUGACGUUAGCGGCGGACGGGUGAGUAACACGUGGAUAACCUACCUAUAAGACUGGGAUAACUUCGGGAAACCGGAGCUAAUACCGGAUAAUAUAUUGAACCGCAUGGUUCAAUAGUGAAAGACGGUUUUGCUGUCACUUAUAGAUGGAUCCGCGCCGCAUUAGCUAGUUGGUAAGGUAACGGCUUACCAAGGCAACGAUGCGUAGCCGACCUGAGAGGGUGAUCGGACACACUGGAACUGAGCCACGGUCCAGACUCCUACGGGAGGCAGCAGUAGGGAAUCUUCCGCAAUGGGCGAAAGCCUGACGGAGCAACGCCGCGUGAGUGAUGAAGGUCUUCGGAUCGUAAAACUCUGUUAUUAGGGAAGAACAAAUGUGUAAGUAACUAUGCACGUCUUGACGGUACCUAAUCAGAAAGCCACGGCUAACUACGUG